rnacentral:rRNA from 1 species
UACAGAGGAUGCAAGCGUUAUCCGGACUGAUUGGGCGUAAAGCGUCUGUAGGUGGCUUUUUAAGUCCGCCGUCAAAUCCCAGGGCUCAACUCUGGACAGGCGGUGGAAACUACCAAGCUGGAGUACGGUAGGGGCAGAGGGAAUUUCCGGUGGAGCGGUGAAAUGCGUAGAUAUCGGAAGGAACGCCGGUGGCGAAAGCGACGUGCUGGACCUCUUCUGACGCUGAGGCGCGAAAGCCAGGGGAGCAAACGGG